rnacentral:rRNA from 1 species
CUACGGGAGGCAGCAGUGGGGAAUUUUGGACAAUGGGCGCAAGCCUGAUCCAGCCAUUCCGCGUGCAGGAUGAAGGCCCUCGGGUUGUAAACUGCUUUUGUACGGAACGAAAAGGCUCUGGUUAAUACCUGGAGCUGAUGACGGUACCGUAAGAAUAAGCACCGGCUAACUACGUGCCAGCAGCCGCGGUAAUACGUAGGGUGCAAGCGUUAAUCGGAAUUACUGGGCGUAAAGCGUGCGCAGGCGGUGAUGUAAGACAGAUGUGAAAUCCCCGGGCUCAACCUGGGAACUGCAUUUGUGACUGCAUCGCUGGAGUGCGGCAGAGGGGGAUGGAAUUCCGCGUGUAGCAGUGAAAUGCGUAGAUAUGCGGAGGAACACCGAUGGCGAAGGCAAUCCCCUGGGCCUGCACUGACGCUCAUGCACGAAAGCGUGGGGAGCAAACAGGAUUAGAUACCCUGGUAGUCCACGCCCUAAACGAUGUCAACUGGUUGUUGGGUCUUCACUGACUCAGUAACGAAGCUAACGCGUGAAGUUGACCGCCUGGGGAGUACGGCCGCAAGGUUGAAACUCAAAG